AAAUGCCUGUUCUCACCUAGGUCCGUGGACACAGGCCUGGGGUUGGAGCCCUAGCCAGGGACCAGCCCUUCUCUACCCAGCACUUCCCUGCCCCCUUCCCACAUCAAUAUCUCAUACUAAUAGCAAUGCAAAAUUACAUACUAAUAUUCUGCUAAUAGAGUAUUGCCAAACAUUUGAGGUAUUUUUCUUCAAUAUUCCCAGGCCAGCGUUCAUUUAUUUACUACCCAGCAGAUAGAAAAGAAAUCUACCAUCUUUGGAUGGCACAUUUAAUGAUCUCAACAUUUUGGAAUGAUAAAACCACAACCGAAACCACUAUCUUCUAACAUCCAGCCUAAUGUUUUAUCCACAAUAACACACAUUAUGUUCCCUGAAGUGAUUUAACCAAGGAGAAGCUUUGGAUUGUGACAUAGAAGUCACAUCAUGGAGUCUAGCCAUUAUGUCUGCCCUUUCUUACCACUCCUGCAAAGAAAGCCUUUCGAAAUGAUCAGUGAAAUAAUUUGUUUUUAAUUCAAAGAAGCAUUUCUUGCCUAUAUUGAGGUCUCUGGGUUGUGUUUUAUUUCUUCUAGAAGAAAAGUUUCCAAGUGGGGCUGUUCCUCCAUAUUUGGCUAAAAUUUCCCUCUUAGGGCCAUGUCUCUGUGGACACAUUAAUAGAAAGAGCACUAGUGGACUUGUAUGGGAUUUGCAAAUGCAUCCAGAACACUGGAUAAAUUUAUACAAGAAAACACGAUGGAGCCUGGUGACAAGAGAAGGAAAAGAAGAGAUGGGCAGGUCCCAGAAUUCAGAAGCCUCCACAGUUAAGAGUCCUCUGUCUAAUAGUAUUUGUUUGCUCCACGGCUUAAGCUUUGGUGAAGGAAUAUAAAUAAAGGACUAAAUAAUUGGACAGAGCUAGUCCUGAGAAAAUUAGUAGAAAACAUGAAAUAAUCUGUCACCAUAGUCAGUAAAAUUUGAGGGACACUUUGAAAGUCUUCUGAACUACCUACAGCUGUAGUUCUCAAACCUCUUAGUCUCAAGGCCCCUUUGUUAGCUCCAAACAAAAAAAUGAGUGAGAAAAGUUACGUUGUUUUUGGCAAAUCUUUUUUACUUAUGGCUUAAUAAAAAACAGCUAUGUUAUCAAAUAUUCUUCUGCAAUCAAUCUAUUGUGAUACAUUGUUCUGGUUGAAGUAUAUAAGAAAACCCAGGCUUAUCCAGAUAUGUAGUUGGAAAAGGGA
rnacentral:lncRNA from 10 species